AUUGAACGCUGGCGGCAGGCUUAACACAUGCAAGUCGAGCGGAGAGAGGUAGCUUGCUACUGAUCUUAGCGGCGGACGGGUGAGUAAUGCUUAGGAAUCUGCCUAUUAGUGGGGGACAACAUUUCGAAAGGAAUGCUAAUACCGCAUACGUCCUACGGGAGAAAGCAGGGGAUCUUCGGACCUUGCGCUAAUAGAUGAGCCUAAGUCGGAUUAGCUAGUUGGUGGGGUAAAGGCCUACCAAGGCGACGAUCUGUAGCGGGUCUGAGAGGAUGAUCCGCCACACUGGGACUGAGACAAGGCCCAGACUCCUACGGGAGGCAGCAGUGGGGAAUAUUGGACAAUGGGCGGAAGCCUGAUCCAGCCAUGCCGCGUGUGUGAAGAAGGCCUUAUGGUUGUAAAGCACUUUAAGCGAGGAGGAGGCUACUUUAGUUAAUACCUAGAGAUAGUGGACGUUACUCGCAGAAUAAACACCGGCUAACUCUGUGCCAGCAGCCGCGGUAACAC
rnacentral:rRNA from 1 species